GACGAACGCUGGCGGCGUGCCUAAUACAUGCAAGUCGAGCGAGUCUGCCUUGAAGAUCGGAGUGCUUGCACUCUGUGAAACAAGAUACAGGCUAGCGGCGGACGGGUGAGUAACACGUGGGUAACCUGCCCAAGAGAUCGGGAUAACACCUGGAAACAGAUGCUAAUACCGGAUAACAACAGAUGAUGCCUAUCAACUGUUUAAAAGAUGGUUCUGCUAUCACUCUUGGAUGGACCUGCGGUGCAUUAGCUAGUUGGUAGGGUAACGGCCUACCAAGGCGAUGAUGCAUAGCCGAGUUGAGAGACUGAUCGGCCACAUUGGGACUGAGACACGGCCCAAGCUCCUACGGGAGGCAGCAGUAGGGAAUCUUCCACAAUGGACGCAAGUCUGAUGGAGCAACGCCGCGUGAGUGAAGAAGGGUUUCGGCUCGUAAAGCUCUGUCGUUGGUGAAGAAGGACAGGGGUAGUAACUGACCUUUGUUUGACGGUAAUCAAUUAGAAAGUCACGGCUAACUACGUG
rnacentral:rRNA from 1 species